AGCGUAUGAUCUUGGCUCAGAUUGAACGCUGGCGGCAUGCUUUACACAUGCAAGUCGAACGGCAGCACGAGGGUAACCUUGGUGGCGAGUGGCGAACGGGUGAGUAAUACAUCGGAACGUGUCUUUAAGUGGGGGAUAACGCAUCGAAAGAUGUGCUAAUACCGCAUAUACUCUACGGAGGAAAGCAGGGGAUCGCAAGACCUUGUGCUUUUAGAGCGGCCGAUGCCUGAUUAGCUAGUUGGUAAGGUAAAAGCUUACCAAGGCGACGAUCAGUAGCUGGUCUGAGAGGACGACCAGCCACACUGGGACUGAGACACGGCCCAGACUCCUACGGGAGGCAGCAGUGGGGAAUUUUGGACAAUGGGCGAAAGCCUGAUCCAGCCAUGCCGCGUGAGUGAAGAAGGCCUUCGGGUUGUAAAGCUCUUUUAGUCGGAAAGAAAGAGUUGCAAUGAAUAAUUGUGAUUUAUGACGAUACCGACAGAAAAAGCACCGGCUAACUACGUGCCAGCAGCCGCGGUAAUACGUAGGGUGCGAGCGUUAAUCGGAAUUACUGGGCGUAAAGGGUGCGCAGGCGGUCUUGCAAGUCAGAUGUGAAAGCCCCGGGCUUAACCUGGGAAUUGCGUUUGAAACUACAAGGCUAGAGUGCAGCAGAGGGGAGUGGAAUUCCAUGUGUAGCAGUGAAAUGCGUAGAGAUGUGGAAGAACACCGAUGGCGAAGCAGCUCCCUGGGUUGACACUGACGCUCAUGCACGAAAGCGUGGGGGAGCAAACAGGAUUAGAUACCCUGGUAGUCCACGCCCUAAACGAUGUCAACUAGUGUCGGAUCUAAUUAAGGAUUUGGUAACGUAGCUAACGCGUGAAGUUGACCGCCUGGGGAGUACGGUCGCAAGAUUAAAACUCAAAGGAAUUGACGGGGACCCGCACAAGCGAUGGAUUAUGUGGAUUAAUUCGAUGCAACGCGAAAAACCUUACCUACCCUUGACAUGCUUGGAAUCUAAUGGAGACAUAAGAGUGCCCGAAAGGGAGCCAAGACACAGGUGCUGCAUGGCUGUCGUCAGCUCGUGUCGUGAGAUGUUGGGUUAAGUCCCGCAACGAGCGCAACCCUUGUCACUAAUUGCUAUCAUUUUUAAUGAGCACUUUAGUGAGACUGCCGGUGACAAACCGGAGGAAGGUGGGGAUGACGUCAAGUCCUCAUGGCCCUUAUGGGUAGGGCUUCACACGUAAUACAAUGGCGUGUACAGAGGGUUGCCAACCCGCGAGGGGGAGCCAAUCUCAGAAAGCACGUCGUAGUCCGGAUCGGAGUCUGCAACUCGACUCCGUGAAGUCGGAAUCGCUAGUAAUCGCGGAUCAGCAUGCCGCGGUGAAUACGUUCCCGGGUCUUGUACACACCGCCCGUCACACCAUGGGAGUGGUUUUCACCAGAAGCAGGUAGCUUAACCGUAAGGAGGGCGCUUGCCACGGUGGGGGUCAUGACUGGGGUGAAGUCGUAACAAGGUAACCGUA
rnacentral:rRNA from 1 species